UCAGGACGAACGCUGGCGGCGUGCCUAAUACAUGCAAGUCGAGCGAAUCGAUGGGAGCUUGCUCCCUGAGAUUAGCGGCGGACGGGUGAGUAACACGUGGGCAACCUGCCUAUAAGACUGGGAUAACUUCGGGAAACCGGAGCUAAUACCGGAUACGUUCUUUUCUCGCAUGAGAGAAGAUGGAAAGACGGUUUACGCUGUCACUUAUAGAUGGGCCCGCGGCGCAUUAGCUAGUUGGUGAGGUAAUGGCUCACCAAGGCGACGAUGCGUAGCCGACCUGAGAGGGUGAUCGGCCACACUGGGACUGAGACACGGCCCAGACUCCUACGGGAGGCAGCAGUAGGGAAUCUUCCGCAAUGGACGAAAGUCUGACGGAGCAACG
rnacentral:rRNA from 1 species